rnacentral:rRNA from 1 species
UUGGCGGACGGGUGGAGUAACGACGUGGGGAACCGUGCCCUGUACAGGGGGAUAACACUUAGAAAUAGGUGCUAAUACCGCAUAAGCGCACAGUAUCGCAUGAUACAGUGUGAAAAACUCCGGUGGUACAGGAUGGACCCGCGUCUGAUUAGCUGGUUGGCGGGGUAACGGCCCACCAAGGCGACGAUCAGUAGCCGGCCUGAGAGGGUGAACGGCCACAUUGGGACUGAGACGCGGCCCAAACUCCUACGGGAGGCAGCAG